GUUGUCGUUAGUAGCAUGUUGCAGGUCGUACUUUUUUUAAUCCAAAACGCAUGACUAAUUUGCGAUAAAUAUACAGUAUGACGCUUGCCCGUGCAAGGCGCCCUACCCAAUACUGAAAUUUUACAAAUUGUAAUUUUCUCCCACUUUUAUUACAGUUAUUGUCAUCGUAGAAAUUACUCGUGAACACAAGUUAGGAAAGCCUUUCUUUAGAAAAAAAAACAGCACCUACCCGUUGAUUUGAUCGUAGUGAGAUCGCUUAUUUACGAGUUUACCGAAGUCUUAUCAUUUACGACUCCCUAUUAUAUAUGACUUUAGCGCCUAACAUUGAAGGCUCGCGUUUAACUUUAUCACUUGGUUUGGGUAUGAGGACUAUAUUCCCUUUGCCUUAGAUGAACAAAUUAACGUAAAACAAAAUUCAGAAUGUAGCCGGUAGACUACCUUCCAACCCUACCAAUUAACGAAGACCAGCUCAGUGUAUUAAAUUGGAGCGCUGAAAAAGAGCCAAAUAAGGUGACGCCAAAGAAGCAAUUUGAGAGAUUUUAAAAAUAGCGUCACAAAUUAUUAGAAUAGGCAACACUACUUCGGUGAAUCUUCAAACAAUAACGUGCUGUUUACAGGUAGGUGGGCACUUUUUCAUUUUGUUCUCUGUACAAGACGGUCCUCAUUAGGAGGCAAUUAGUAGCACUAGCACUUGGUCAAGUUGACGAGAGAAGAUCACGCGGACGCUCACCUACCCGCUGGUCUGAUCUGGUAAAGACGCUCACCGGCCUGCCAAUAACCGAGGCUAUAAAGACCGCAGAGGACUGAGAGACAUGGGGAAGCAUUGUGAAUCGAGUGGUCCACAUUUCAAAUUAGACCUUCAGCAAUGAAGAGAGCGACUUAGAAUAAUAGCACUUAGGAAAACUACUUCAUAGUCAAUUAAGCUACGCACUUUGAAACAGCACUUGAACAUUAUUUUUCUGUAAACUAAAAGGACUUUUUUUUUUACCUAAGCUGAGAGCCUUGAGAGGCUAUUUCAGCGUGAGCUCACGGGGCUCAAUCCUGACGACGUUGCUAAAACGAACCCUAGCAAGAGCCGUGCUUUGCAGAAUCUACCACCGGAUCGGAAACGCGGCCCACUGAGAAGAUCCAGCGAGAAACUCAGUGGGCUAAGCUAAAAGGACAAAUAAAACAAAGCUUUAUAUAUAGAAUCAAUACUCUUUUUACACAGCAGUUAACCUAAAUAAUAGCUGACGCAUUUUUACUUAAAAAUAUAAUACGAAUCUGACUCUUUCUCUAAACUAUAAUAUUAGUUUAAUAAGAUUCCUAUUUGCGAGAACUUUAAGAUAAUUAAUUAUUCCCGUAAUAGAAUGAACGCUAAAAUAAAAUAAAAGUAAUUUCCUAAACACAAAAAUAUGGAAUUUUUAGCUUAUAAACUAUUCAUAUAUAUUAGUAUAUACCGACAUUACAAUUUCGUAAUAUUAAUUUUAGUACAAUUCAUUCGUCUGGCACUGAAGGAUAAAGAAAAACAUUGUAAAAAAAAACACUCCCUUUUAAAUCACAUGAUUCAUGAAACCGCUAUGCGUAUAUACAGUUUUAAAGGAACCUAAAUUGACAGACAACUAACAGAAUCCUAAUGUGAAGACAAACAAUAA